rnacentral:sRNA from 1 species
AGCAGCCGCGGUAAUUCCAGCUCCAAUAGCGUAUAUUAAAGUUGUUGCAGUUAAAAAGCUCGUAGUUGAAUUUCGGGAUCAAUAUAUCGGUCGUGCCUUGGUACGUACUGGUAUCAUUGGUCUCUCCUUUCUGACGAACCAUGAUGUCAUUAAUUUGGUGUUAUGGGAAGUUAGGACUGUUACUUUGAAAAAAUUAGAGUGUUUAAAGCAGGCUUUGGCUUGAAUACAUUAGCAUGGAAUAAUGAAAUAGGACGUUCGAACCUAUUUUGUUGGUUUCUAGGAUCAACGUAAUGAUUAAUAGGGAUAGUUGGGGGCAUUAGUAUUCAAUUGUCAGAGGUGAAAUUCUUGGAUUUAUUGAAGACUAACUACUGCGAAAGCAUUUGCCAAGGAUGUUUUCAUUAAUCAAGAACGAAAGUUAGGGGAUCGAAGACGAUCAGAUACCGUCGUAGUCUUAACCAUAAACUAUGCCGACUAGGGAUCGGAUGAUGUUAAUUUUUUAAUGACUCAUUCGGCGCCUUAC